rnacentral:rRNA from 1 species
AUUGAACGCUGGCGGCAGGCUUAACACAUGCAAGUCGAACGAGUGGCGGACGGGUGAGUAAUGCUUGGGAAUCUAGCUUAUGGAGGGGGAUAACUACGGGAAAAUGUAGCUAAUACCGCGUACCCUAGGAUGAGCCCAAGUGGGAUUAGGUAGUUGGUGCGGGAAAGGCUCACCAAGCAGACGAUCUCUAGCUGGUCUGAGAGGAUGACCAGCCACACUGGGACUGAGACACGGCCCAGACGCCUACGGGAGGCAGCAUUGGGGAAUAUUGCGCAAUGGGGGAAACCUGACGCAGCCAUGCCGCGUGAAUGAAGAAGUCCUUCGGGUUGUAAAGUUCUUUCGGUAGCGAGGCGUUAACGACAGAAGAAGCACCGGCUAACUCCGUGCCAGCAGCCGCGGUAAUUC